rnacentral:rRNA from 1 species
UACAGAGGGGGCAAGCGUUAUCCGGAAUUAUUGGGCGUAAAGAGCUCGUAGGCGGCUCGUUGCGUCAACCGUGAAAACCCGGGGCUUAACUUCGGGCUUGCGGUUGAUACGGGCGGGCUGGAGUUCGGUAGGGGAGACUGGAAUUCCUGGUGUAGCGGUGAAAUGCGCAGAUAUCAGGAGGAACACCGGUGGCGAAGGCGGCAUCCUGGACCGAAACUGACGCUGAGGCGCGAAAGCUAGGGGAGCAAACGGG